rnacentral:rRNA from 1 species
GAUGAACGCUGGCGGUGUGCCUAAUACAUGCAAGUCGAGCGAACAGGCGAGGAGCUUACUCCUCUGACGUUAGCGGCGGACGGGUGAGUAACACGUGGAUAACCUACCUAUAAGACUGGGAUAACUUCGGGAAACCGGAGCUAAUACCGGAUAACAUGUUGAACCGCAUGGUUCAACAGUGAAAGACGGUCUUGCUGUCACUUAUAGAUGGAUCCGCGUCGCAUUAGCUAGUUGGUAAGGUAACGGCUUACCAAGGCAACGAUGCGUAGCCGACCUGAGAGGGUGAUCGGCCACACUGGAACUGAGACACGGUCCAGACUCCUACGGGAGGCAGCAGUAGGGAAUCUUCCGCAAUGGGCGAAAGCCUGACGGAGCAACGCCGCGUGAGUGAAGAAGGUCUUCGGAUCGUAAAACUCUGUUAUUAGGGAAGAACAAAUGUGUAAGUAACUAUGCACGUCUUGACGGUACCUAAUCAGAAAGCCACGGCUAACUACGUG